rnacentral:tRNA from 1 species
GCCCGGAUGGCGGAAAUGGUAGACGCAAGGGACUUAAAAUCCCUCGGUGGCAACACCGUGCUGGUUCAAGUCCAGUUCCGGGCACCA